rnacentral:rRNA from 1 species
GGUGCAUGGUUGUCGUCAGCUCGUGUCGUGAGAUGUUCGGGUUAAGUCCCGCAACGAGCGCAACCCUCGACCUUAGUUGCCAGCAUUCAGUUGGGCACUCUAAGGUGACUGCCGGCUAAAAGUCGGAGGAAGGUGGGGAUGACGUCAAAUCAUCAUGCCCCUUAUGACCUGGGCUACACACGUGCUACAAUGGGCGGUACAAAGGGUCGCGAACCCGCGAGGGGGAGCCAAUCCCAAAAAGCCGCUCUCAGUUCGGAUUGCAGGCUGCAACUCGCCUGCAUGAAGCCGGAAUCGCUAGUAAUCGCGGAUCAGCAUGCCGCGGUGAAUACGUUCCCGGGCCUU